CCGUCAACGCCAUCUAUGGGAGAGCUCACGUGGAGGUGGCUGGAGGUGCUUGGUGCCCCCGUCAGAUCAUCUACAAGGAGGGCGUGGAGUACCUGGAGGUGUAUCUGGGGGAGGAACACGUCGUCACUAAGGUGGAGGUGCAGGGCAGGUUCGGUAAUGGCCAGGGCAAGGAAUAUGCUGAGAGAUACAGGUUACAGUACUGGAGACCUGGACAAGACCACUGGAUCACCUACGUCGAUGGUCAAGGGACCGAGUUGCUGGAGGGGAACACCAACACAUACCUGGCAAAGACCUCUCAGUUGAGUCCACCCAUCAUAGCGGCCAGGGUGAGGUCGUGCCUUACAGCGACCACCCUCGUACAGUGUGUAUGAGAGUGGAGAUCUACGGUUGUCGCUACACUGAGGGUCUGGUGUCGUACCGAUGCCUGACGGUGACCCCCGGG